UGUCUUGUACACAGACGUGAGCGUGUGGAUUAUCUUACCCUCGGACUUCCUUCCUGUUAUCUUUUAUAAUGGCUGACUCUGACCGCAUUGUGUAUCCUGACGAGGUCGCCGAGGCCAAGGCAGACGCUAUUGCUGCAGCAGAAGCUGAAGACAAGACGUCAGGCGGAGACAGCAACACCGUGGACACACCAGCCCCCGGAGGAAUCAUAAUGAGGAAUGCUAUCACAGUUCCUGACAACUGUCCACCUGGGCAUAAGAUGGGAGCUGACGGCGUUUGUCGUGAAGUGUUUUAACUGUUUGUAUGUAAUUCUAAGUUAGCAGCUAAAGAGAGUCGAGCAUAUUUUUAUGUAAAGGCAUAAUGUAAUACGCCAGUAUUUUAGAACAAAUUUCGCAGCAACUGAUGUGUUACAUUAAAUGAAACCAUUCACACAUGCACAUUAUUGCGCAUGGUAUUGUACCAGUAUUAUUGAAUUUAAAUCGAAUUGGAGAUGUACUUUCUAUUUAUAUUUAAGUUUUGUGGUUAUAUUAAUAUUGUCUGAUUGUGUUGUUAAUGAAAAUAAUGUUAUGUUUUAUAAAAUAUUAACUGCCGUAAUAAGAGACAUUUAAUGAUUACCGACUUAAACGAAAAAAAAAGUUAAGGACUGGUUUGGGUAACCAUUAAAUUACUUUGUUAACGGCGGUAAAUGACAUUUUGUAUAUCUUUUCUUCUCUACUUUCCUCUGGAUUCGAGCUAUAAGAAUAUUAAGAAAAGGAAUAUGAAUGGUGAGGCUGGCUGGUAAGGGUUGCCCUAGGCCCUAGGCGAACAUAAUUUGAUCGGAGAGAUUCUCGAAAUCAGUAUCAGUUGCGGACUAUUUGUCACAAGUUAUACUUGUGAACUUGCUAAUAUCAUGUGUACGGGCGAAUCUACAACACUGCGUUGCGGCGUCGCAUCGCAAAAUGACGUCGAACCGCAAUGCGAUGCGAUGUACCAACAAACCGCAACCAAAAAAUGUCAUCGGAUACGACCCACCCACGAUACCCACUGAACGUCGUCGCAUCGGAAUUUUCCACGAUACGCGGCGUCAUAGAUUUUUGCGAUGCGUCGUCGCAACGCAGUGUUGUGGAUUCGCCCUACUAGUAGCGCUUUGUACCUUAAUGGAGGAGGACUUUUGGCCGCGGGCUGUAGUCUACCGACGUUUCCGAGAUCGGCUACCGGACACUGCGCGACACACGACGCCGUCUUUUCGUGUGACCUAGUUAUUAAGCACAACUAAUUAUUGUAAUAUUGUUUGUAAUGUAUAGUAUUUAUAAAUUUUAAUGUAUUACUCUAUAGUAUUUUAUAUGGGCCUAUGAAGCAUGAAAUAAAUGAAUAAAUAAAUAAAAAUAAAAUUGCAGAGGUGACCUGGAUUCCGCACCAGCUUCCAAGCUCGUGGCGUACCCAGUAAGGGAUUUGAUCAGAAUUUUUCAUACCGACUAGAGCCAGUAGUAAAUAGGCGAUAGUAGCAGCCUUGAGACGCCAGCAUUUACAGACAGGUAGUCAAAGCAGUCACUGUAAAAAAAAAUCUGACUUCACUUCUACUGAUGUAAUGCUGCUUCGUCCUUACUAAGAUUCUUUUAAAGGACCAGGAGGCAAAGUUAUACUACUUUUAUGAAUGCGCUGGUAGAUUCAUCUCAUGUCGUCCGCCGCAUGAGGAAACGCCCGGGUGUCAUCACUGCGAGGACCGCCCGGAGGACACGGUGGAACAUACGGUGGCGGUGUGCCCUGUAUGGGCAUGGCUGCGCACCGCCGUGUUCUCAGGGAUGUGGUCGGCGACGGCGACCUCUCGCGUCCGGCAUUGGUUUCUCCUCCUUCUGCGAAGCAGUCAUGCUAGCUAAAGGGGAGGCGGAGCGCGUGAGGGACCGAUCCUCCUCACGCCCCAGCCGCCGCAGAAGACACUCCGGGCGUCGGGGAUUGUGUAAUGAUCUCCGGCCACCGUAAGUGCGGGUCUGCAAGAACCAGACCCGUGCGUACGGCGCGUCGCGUUCCGCGCGCGCCUCAAAGAGCCAGACCACCACAGAUGGGGCCCAGUAUAUCCGGAGCUGCGGACAACGUAAAAGGUUACCGGGGCUCCGGCUCAAAGCAGGAUAAGGAACGGGUGGUUUUUACUCAGUAAGAGUCUGACACUCCCUCCCGCCUCACCCAAGGCGGGAGAAGUCAUUGGAUGAUGAACGUUGUCCCACACUAGUAUUUUCUCCUGUGUCGUGGGUGCGUUUACAAACAUACAAGUUCAUACACAUGACACCCAGACCCGAAACAACAAGCACAGAGAGCCUCUGUGCUAACCGUCCUAUAAGCCUUACACAGAAAGAUCAAGGCUAGACGCUGACCUUGGAGAAGCUUUCGCCGUACCGUGCCUAUUGUGGCCCUAUCAGCCCAUACUGGUGCCCCGUACCAACUUACCAACACUUUUAGCGAUUCAUUUUUAUAUACAACGUGUAACAAAAAGGGGGUAUACAUAUCAAGUGCACGGUUUCUAGAUAACAUAACAAACGAUACGGGAAGGGUUUUUUAAAGUCAUGUUUUCAUGAUACCAAGUUAUGAAUUUUUCAAAUCGCGCCGCCGCGCGAAUCAAAAUUAAGUAGACAGGUACUAGGCGAUCAGAUUGACAGAAGAAAUGUUUCGUAAUACUAGCGGGUGGCCCCUGUAGUUUUGUGACACGUUUGUAUGAUUUGAAGUCAAGAACCAUGUGAUACCAAGUAUUUGGUACUAAUUUUUUUUUAAACGAAUUUUAAGCCGAAACUUUGUCUAGAGAUUCUAUUCAACCUGUAUUCAUCAGGGCUUCUUGAUGUAUAUGGGCAUUUUGUUACACGUUGUAUAAGAUAAUUAUAUAUAGUACCAAUUCAAACAAUGCCUACAGGGGAAUUCCACAUGAUGUAACAUGUUUGUGAAUUACUUUGUUCACUCAGUGCUACGCGGCUACGAGAAAAUAUUUCAUUUAUGAAAACGGGUAAGUAUAAAACUGAAGAUUCGUUUGUUUGUCUGAAUGUGCACUGGAACUAGUGGUUCGAUUUGAAUAUGUCUUUUUGUUUUAGAUAGUGCAUUUAUCGAGGAAAGCUAUCGGCUGUAAAAUAUCACGCUAUACGCAUAUGCAUCAACAGGAACCGGGCAGUGGAUGAAUCUCCGCGGGAAUAUCGAAUAUCAAACAUCGUCGGUUUUUACAAAACUUUAUAUUUUGUUUUUUUUAAACAGUGCUAAGAGUAGUACAAACUUAGAUUAAUAUAAACAAAAAAAAUAUCAUUCGCAGUUACCUGAACAGUGUCGAUAGAUACCAGACGUUUGUGGGGUUUUCCAGAGUUUAUUCCACUUGGGGCUGAUUUAUUCAACGCCGAAUAAGUUCUAUCGGCAGAAUAAUUUUGAAUUAUUGAUAAUUCUUCCAUAUAAAACAUUAUCAAAUCUUAAUUUUAUCCUAAUAGCGAAUUACCCCUCUUUCCAACUAUUUUCAAGUCAAGAACUCAACUAUUUUCAAGUCAUGCUGGAGGCUCAUAUUCACGCGCACUUUGCGGCGGCCGCGUAAGUGUUGGGUCCGAUUCCCGGGUCAACGCAAAAAUGGACCGUAUUGCUGAUACCAUAACAAUGAUGUAAAAUAAGGAUUCGUGACAAAACUACAAGCCUUACCUACCUGUGAAUGGCUGACUCCGAUCGUGUUGUGAACUCCGAGGAAUUAGGAGAGGCAGUAGAAGGUGAAGACAAGACAUCAGGCGGAGACAACAACAGUACAGAACCAGUAUUAGUAAAAGAAACAUCUCGUGUCGGGGAUGGAAUGGUCAUAGUUCCCAAUAACUCAAAACCGAAGUAAACGCAAAAGUAACCUUAUUUAUUAUAUUUUUAAUUGAUAAAUGUUGCCCUCAAUUAUUUAUGUGUCCGCCCAGCCUCUAAUUACAACAACAUAGAGGAACCAGUACUAGUAAAAAAAGCAUCGCAGCUGAUGGCAAAAAGCCUCAAAGUAGUGUAAGGAAAUAUUUAGGACGUAUGUAUGUAAGGCAAUUCAGUAGUUAUACAAAUUGGACUAAAUAUGUAGUUUUUUAGGGUUCCGUAGCCAAAUGGCAAAAAACGGAACCCUUAUAGAUUCGUCAUGUCUGUCUGUCCGUCCGUCCGUCCGUAUGUCACAGCCAUUUAUUUCCGAAACUGUUGGGCCUACAUAGUUGAAACUUUGUAGGUUAAUGUAUUUUGGUAACCGCUAUUCGAAUUUUGAAUAAAAAUUAACAAAUUUAAAAAUUAGAGGGGGGCACUCCAUACAUGGAACUGAUUCAAAAAAAAAAUUUUUUCAGCUAUCAUAUCCGUGAUGGAUGUCUAUGGAUAGGUCUUUAAAAAAGACAUUAAGGUUUCUAAAACCAUUUUUCGUCAGAAUUAACCGUUUGAAAGUUAGACGCUUCCAAAGUGGAAAAAUGAGUGUCCCCCCCUCUAACUUUUAAAAUAAGAGAGCGAGAAAAUUAAAAAAAAAUAUAUGCUGUAGAUUUCAAUAGAAACUAACAACGAAAAUUGGUUUGAACCGGAUAUCAUUAUUAGUUUUUAAGAAAUAAAAUAUUUUCAAAAACCGCAAAUUAAACUUUGUCGUUCAUACAAACACUAUGAAAAACCAUGUUAUAUUAUAACUUUUAUAUUAUGUCAUCUACUUGCUGUUACGAAACCCUUCUUGGGCGAGUCCGACUCGCACUUGGCCAGUUUUUUUCUAAUUUAUGUUGUCUAUGCAAUAUGGUAAUAACAAAUUAUUCAUUUUAAAAACUAAAUAAAAUAAUCCCUGUUCAAAUAAAUUAAGCACCUCCCUUCUAAGACUGCUUCAGUCCAUGUGUAAUCAGUUUAUUAUUAUUAAUAACUAGCUACCGCCCGUGACUCUGUCCGCGCGGGUGUCGGUCUUCGCGUGGAUGUUUUAUUUCUUCAUUUUGAUAACUGGUAACUCUGACAAUGACAUAAGUUUAAGAAAAUAUCAUGUAUUUUUACACUAUGUAACGGUCUUACUAAUAAACAUUUAUACACACUGUAUAGGCAAGUGCAUAUAGGUUUUGAAACAAAAAGAAUUAUAGUAGAAUGAACUCUAUUGGAAAUGGAAGAGAAUAUGCUAAAAAUGGAAAAAAGUAGGGGGGGGGGGUGUGAAAAUCAGUUUAUUGUAAUUUUCGGCGAAACUACAAGUCCUAUGAAAAAAAGUUAAAUGGCAAAGUUGUAAGUAACAAGAAGAUCUACAACUUUUGUAUUAUAAAUAGGUAGUAAUUUAAAAAAUAUAUAGUUUUGAGAAUUAACUGGAGCAGAAUUUCGGUAUUGUUGUUUUGGACCAAAAUUUACUUAUAUUCUCCGCGCAUCUCAUAUAUGGAAAAAUUCACAUAUUUUGGAAAAUGUAGACAAAAUUAUCAGACACACAUUAUCAUCCAUACUUAAUGUGGCUUUGGAUGACCGAGCUUGGCAACAAGCUACCCUUCCCAUUCGCAUGGGAGGGCUCGGCGUCCGCAAAAUUUUAAGUAUUAGCUUACCAGCAUUUCUCUCAUCGGUCCACAGUACCUCUGAAUUAGUCAGGAAAAUUCUUUCUCCGUCACUGGCUAGUUUUGAGGUGCCGUGUUUGACUGAUGCAGUGGAAGCUUGGAAAAUGGCUUGUCCACUUACUGAUUUACCCUGUGGAUUUACCUGUUCACCCUUCUUCUCAGAGACAAUGGGACGUGCCGCUGUGCAGUAUUAUUCGUGAGUCAUUAAUCAACUCUUCUUCUAAUGCUGCAGAGCGAGCUCGCUUAUUGACUGUGGGGGAGUGGGAAUCAGGUUUGUAGCUUCAGGCGCUCCCGUCACCCUACAUCGAAUUGUGAAAUGUUGGAUGACAUUACGUUCCGGCUAGCUGUGUGCUUACGGUUGGGUGCUCCCUGUGUCUCUCCGCAUUGUUGUCACUGUGGAGAAAGAGUCGUUGGCUCGGGACACCAUGGUCUUUCAUGCCGUAGAAGUGCAGGCCGCAUAAGUCGUCAUGCCAGCAUCAACGACAUUAUUCGUCGUGCUCUCGCCUCAGCCGGCGUACCAGCCGUAUUAGAACCUAAUGGUUUGGUACGUGAUGAUGGCAAGAGACCAGAUGGUAUGUCGUUGCUGCCUUGGAAGAUGGGUAGGCCUUUGGUGUGGGAUGCUACGUGUGUAGACACCCUUGCGCCAUCUCAUCUUCUAAGUACCGCUGCAUGCGCUGGUGCGGCUGCUUCCGCGGCAGAGGACCUCAAGCGGCGCAAAUAUUCUAACUUAGUUGGCAACUAUUGUUUUGAGCCGUUUGGGGUCGAAACACUUGGGCCAUGAGGUCAUGGUGCACAUUCUCUAUUUAAAGAGAUUGCACAUAAGCUAUUCGACUCUACGCGUGACCAGAAGGCUGGCUAUUUCUUCGGUCAGAAGAUAAGCAUUGCCAUUCAACGUGGCAAUGCGGCCAGUCUUCUGGGAACGUUCCCCAGUGACAGCGAAAUUAGUUUUUAUUCCUUUUUUUUGGUAUUUGUAAGUUGUAAAUAAUGUGUUUUACCCAUUGGAAAAUGUUAAAUAAAAUAAUUUAAAUAUCUACAUGUAUACUGAAAAUAUUUUGUAAUAAACAGAAAUUGUUCAUUUCUUAUUUUCUAGUCACUGGUAAAUAAAAUCAUGUAAAUAUGAAAGAAAAAUAGAAAAAGAAAUGUGUGGAGUUUUUAACGUUUUAAGGUUUCGGAACACUUCUCAAAAUGUUACCAGCGGUUAGUGUUAUAACAAUUAAAUAGUUACUCAAGGCUUAUUACACUGUUUAUUAGUAAAAUACUGUAUAUCUAGCUAUUCACGCCUUAAACAUUGAAUAAGUAAUUAGACGUUAAACAGUUGUUUCAUAUAUUUUUAUUAGUAAGACCGUAUGUAUGUAUGUAUGUAAUUCAUAAUUCUUUAUUGCAAAUCCACAAUGUAAAGAUAAGAUGGUAAUAUAAAUAACAUGGUAGCAAUCGUGGACCCUGAUGGGCACAGCAAAUAGUAAAUUAGAAAAUUAGAAGAGAGGAAGGCGUUGUAUAUAAGUAUGUAUAGAAUUAUUUGUUUAUGCUCAAGUAUAUAUAUUAUAUUCCAUCUAUUAUCAUCCAUAUUCCUUUUCAAUGUAUGUAUAGGUACUAUUGUUAUUAUGUUUGUAUUUUUAGUAGGUGUUUACGUAUAAGUAUAUUUUGUACAUUAUUUUAUUAGUUUAUACGUUCUAAAAUUAUAUUAAUUUUAUUGUAUUAUUUAUAUUUGUGAUUGUAUUGAAUAUUUUAUAAUUUUUUAUUACAACUGAAUAUUUUGUUGUUAAUUUUUUUUUAUAUUUAAGUUGACCUUUAUAUGUAUUACGUAUUUAUAUAUUAUUCAUUAUAUUUGUAUUAUAUGUUAUAUGUAUUAUAUGUAUGGGUUUUAGCAGGAAAAGGUGUUUGUUAAUAUGAUUAUAUUUCUUUAUAAUCAAUAUUUUCAUGUUAUUUGUUUAUCCGUAAGAUAUUCACUGAUCGUGUAGGGCUUUAUUAAUUAAUAUUUGCUUUAGGGUGUUUAGGAACUUCGUGUCCCUAGGCUCAUCUUUUAUUUUGUUGGGUAAUUUAUUAUAUAUUUUGAUGCACAUUAAAUAUGGGCUAUUUGAGUGUAGUGUCAUGUUGGAUGUAGGUAGCAUAAGCAUGUUUUUGUGUCUCAGUGAUCUAUUUGUGUGUCUGUCUCCGCGCUUUGUAAAGAAGGUAUCUCCUAACGAAUUUACAUAUUUCUAGAAUAUAAAUGCAUGGUAACGUAAGUAUUUUAUGUUUUUGGAAAUAGGGUUUACAACUGUCUGUUUGUUCAAUGUUUGUAAGUAUUCGGAUUAGUUUUUUUUGUUGAAUGAAGAGUGAUGGUGCGUCAGUGCUGUUACCCCACAUGAUGAUGCCGUAGCUAAGUCGGGAGUGGCCGUAAGCAUAAUAAGCACUCAAUGCAGUUGGUAGGUCUGUGGUUAUUUUUAAUUCUCGAAAAGCGUAAGUGAAUUUGAAAAUCUUGGAUUUAAUGUUUAGGAUGUGUGUCUUCCAGUUGAUAUGAGUGUCUAUUGUAAGUCCGAGAAGCGUGAAGUCGUCGACAACGUCUAUUUUUAUAUUAUUAGUAGAUAAGUUAAUUGUUAUUGCGGAUUUGUAUGUAUGUAUGUAUAUUACAAUAUAAAAAUUUGUAUAGUUAAAGUGUUGACGUUUCAAAAUUAAUAUUUAUGGUUUAAUUGAAAUAAAAGCUUUUGACUUUGA